GCUCCAGUGGCCUAGUGAUUAGAGCAUCUGACUCGGGUGCGGGAGGUCGUGGGUUCGAUCCCCGGUCGAGUCA